rnacentral:rRNA from 1 species
GAUGAACGCUGGCGGCGUGCCUAAUACAUGCAAGUCGAGCGAACGGACGAGAAGCUUGCUUCUCUGAUGUUAGCGGCGGACGGGUGAGUAACACGUGGAUAACCUACCUGUAAGACUGGGAUAACUUCGGGAAACCGGAGCUAAUACCGGAUAAUAUUUUGAACCGCAUGGUUCAAAAGUGAAAGACGGUCUUGCUGUCACUUAUAGAUGGAUCCGCGCUGCAUUAGCUAGUUGGUAAGGUAACGGCUUACCAAGGCAACGAUGCAUAGCCGACCUGAGAGGGGGAUCGGCCACACUGGAGCUGGGACACGGUCCAGACUCCUACGGGAGGCAGCAGUAGGGAAUCUUCCGCAAUGGGCGAAAGCCUGACGGAGCAACGCCGCGUGAGUGAUGAAGGUCUUCGGAUCGUAAAACUCUGUUAUUAGGGAAGAACAUAUGUGUAAGUAACUGUGCACAUCUUGACGGUACCUAAUCAGAAAGCCACGGCUAACUACGUG